rnacentral:rRNA from 1 species
CCUACGGGUGGCAGCAGUAGGGAAUAUUGGACAAUGGACGAAACUCUGAUCCAGCAACGCCGCGUGAGUGAAGAAGGAAUUCGGUAUGUAAAGCUCUAUUAGUAGGGAAGAAAAUGACGGUACCUGAGUGAAAAGCCCCGGAUAACUACGUGCCAGAAGCCGCGGUAAGACGUAGGGGGCAAGGGUUAGCCGGAUUUACUGGGGGAAAAGGGGGCGGGGGCGGUUGUGCAAGUCGCGAGUGAAAGGGGGGGGCUCAACCGCCGGUGGGCACUGGAAACUGGACGGCUGGAGUGCAGGAGAGGAGAGUGGAAUUCCAGGUGUAGCGGUGAAAUGCGUAGAUAUUAGGAGGAACACCAGUGGCGAAGGCGGCUCACUGGACUGUAACUGACGUUGAGGCUCGAAAGCGUGGGGAGCAAACAGGAUUAGAUACCCCAGUAGUC